rnacentral:rRNA from 1 species
UACGGAGGAUGCGAGCGUUAUCCGGAUUUAUUGGGUUUAAAGGGUGCGUAGGUUGUUUUUUAAGUCAGCGGUGAAAGUUUGUGGCUCAACCAUAAAAUUGCCGUUGAAACUGGAAGACUUGAGUGUGUUUGAGGUAGGCGGAAUGCGUGGUGUAGCGGUGAAAUGCGUAGAUAUUAGGAGGAACACCAGUGGCGAAGGCGACUUUCUGGACAGUAACUGACGUUGAGGCACGAAAGUGUGGGGAGCAAACAGG